CGGGCCGUAGCGCAGUCUGGUAGCGCGAUUGGUUUGGGACCAAUAGGCCGUGGGUUCAAAUCCCACCGGCCCGACCA
rnacentral:tRNA from 1 species